CCAGACUCCUACGGGAGGCAGCAGUGGGGGAUAUUGCACAAUGGGGGGAACCCUGAUGCAGCGACGCCGCGUGGGUGAAGAAGCGCCUCGGCGCGUAAAGCCCUGUCAGCAGGGAAGAAAAUGACGGUACCUGAAGAAGAAGCCCCGGCUAACUACGUGCCAGCAGCCGUGGUAAUACGUAGGGGGCAAGCGUUAUCCGGAUUUACUGGGUGUAAAGGGGGCGCAGACGGCAGCGCAAGCCAGGAGUGAAAGCCCGGGGCCCAACCCCGGGACUGCUCUUGGAACUGCGCGGCUGGAGUGCGGGAGGGGCAGGCGGAAUUCCUGGUGUAGCGGUGAAAUGCGUAGAUAUCAGGAGGAACACCGGCGGCGAAGGCGGCCUGCUGGACCGUAACUGACGUUGAGGCUCGAAAGCGUGGGGAGCAAACAGGAUUAGAUACCCUAGUA
rnacentral:rRNA from 1 species